rnacentral:rRNA from 1 species
GACGAACGCUGGCGGCGCGCCUAACACAUGCAAGUCGAACGAGCGAGCGAGAGCUUGCUUUCUCGAGCGAGUGGCGAACGGGUGAGUAACGCGUGAGGAACCUGCCUCAAAGAGGGGGACAACAGUUGGAAACGACUGCUAAUACCGCAUAAGCCCACGGGUCGGCAUCGACCAGAGGGAAAAGGAGCAAUCCGCUUUGAGAUGGCCUCGCGUCCGAUUAGCUAGUUGGUGAGGUAAUGGCCCACCAAGGCGACGAUCGGUAGCCGGACUGAGAGGUUGAACGGCCACAUUGGGACUGAGACACGGCCCAGACUCCUACGGGAGGCAGCAGUGGGGAAUAUUGCACAAUGGGGGAAACCCUGAUGCAGCGACGCCGCGUGGAGGAAGAAGGUCUUCGGAUUGUAAACUCCUGUUGUUGGGGAAGAUAAUGACGGUACCCAACAAGGAAGUGACGGCUAACUGCGUG